AUUGAACGCUGGCGGCAGGCUUAACACAUGCAAGUCGAGCGGGGGAGGUUGCUUCGGUAACUGACCUAGCGGCGGACGGGUGAGUAAUGCUUAGGAAUCUGCCUAGUAGUGGGGGCCAACAUUCCGAUAGGGAUGCUAAUACCGCAUACGCCCUACGGGGGAAGGCAGGGGAACUGCGGCGCUGGCGCUAAUAUGUGAGCCUAAGUCGGGUUAGCUAGUGGGUGGGGUAAGGGCCUACCAAGGCGACGAUCUGAAGCGGGUAUGAGAGGAUGAUCCGCCACACUGGGACUGAGACACGGCCCAGACCCCUACGGGAGGCAGCAGUGGGGAAUAUUGGACAAUGGGCGGAAGCCUGAUCCAGCCAUGCCGCGUGUGUGAAGAAGGCCUUUUGGUUGUAAAGCACUUUAAGCGAGGAGGAGGCUACUAGUACUAAUACUACUGGAUAGUGGACGUUACUCGCAGAAUAAGCACCGGCUAACUCUGUGCCAGCCGCCGCCGUAAAAC
rnacentral:rRNA from 1 species